UGCAAAUACAAAGACGUUACAAAUAAACCACGUGUUAUAUUGUAUACAUUCUUAUCAAUAUAUGAAUUGCAUAUGUAUUAUAAAUUUCCUUUCAUAAAUAUGUCUAUGCAUGUCUAUAUAUAUAUAUAUAUAUAUAUAUAGAUAGAUAGAUAGAUAGAUACAUAGAUAGAUACAUAGAUAGAUAGCUACAUAGAUAGAUAGAUAGAUAGAUAGAUAGACAUACACAUAUACACAGAGGGAUAGAAAAAGAGAUUGACAGACAGGCAGAUAUAUAUAUAUAUAUAUAUGGGGGGGGGGGCAAUGGCCCAGUGGUUAGGGCAAUGGACUCGCGGUCGUAGGAUCGUGGUUUCGAUUCCCAGACCGGGCGUUGUGAGUGUUUAUUUAGCGAAAACACCUAAAGCUCCACGAGGCUCCGGCAGGGGCUGGUGACAACCACUGCUGUACCCUUCCGCCACAACUUUCCCCCACUCUUUCUUCUAUUGGCCUGUUCGCUUAGCCAGCGGGGUGGCAUCACUUGAAGGCUAAAACAAUGCAAAGCGCAUUGUGACCAGCGAUGUGUAGCAACAUCUGAUAGCCUGGUCGGUCACGGUGAUCACGGUGAUAUAUAUAGACAGACAGACAGACAGACAGACAGACAGAUAGAUAGAUAGAUAGAUAGAUAGAUAGAUAGAUAGAUAGAUAGAUAGAUAGAUAGAUAGAUAGAUAGAUAGUGUGAGUACAGAAAUUUACUCGCUGAGUUUUAUAUAAAGAUAUUAGAAAAUUCGAUACCACCUCAAAAACAUUAGAUGAAAUAUAAAAUAUUUCCACGUGUAAUACCCAAUAUGUUUAUAAUAUAGUUAUGUACUUAUAAUAUGACUUGUGUUGCUUUAGAAUAGCGAAUUCGUUAAGCUUCACCAUUUAUAUUAUGUACACAUAUACAUGUGUGUGUGUGUGUGUGUGUGUGUGCAUUUGUGUGUGUGUAUGUGUGUGUGUUGUGUGUGUUUCCUCACUGUAUAAAAAUGUGUGUGUCUUGUCCAUCCUGUGCUUGUUUGCGUGUGUUUCUCUUUAUGUAAGCAUGUGAAUGAAUGGAAACUGUGUUUUGUUUAUGACAGCUUAUAUUUAUGAUUCUUUACACAAGUUGCAAACAAUGGAAGAGUUUUAUGCUACGGGUAUAGAGUAAUAGUUUUGCGCUGUUUUCAACAAAAAAAACUCACGUCACGAAGUCAAAGAAGAAAUGGAAAAUGCUUUUCUGUCAUUCAAUAAGACAUUUCUUGGUCAUUUUCUGAUAUUUGUAUAAAUGAAGAAAUGAAUGUCUUCAAAGUGUAUCUUUAUAAAACGAGCACCGAGAGAAAAUAAUAAAUGGCUCUAUAGUCAAAACGCAAGGAAAACUAAAAAAUAAGUUGUAAACUUCGUAAAACAUUCUGCUAACAGAAUAAGAGAAUGUAUUAUUUUACAUGUAUUACAGCCCUUCAGCAAUAGUACUGUAUGUAUUUAUUUAGAAUUGCAUCACACAACUUUUGCAUUUGUUUGCUGGAUAUAUAUAUAUAUAUAUAUAUAUAUAUAUAUAUAUAUAUAAUUAUUAUUAUUUGAGGGAAUAAAAUCCAAACUUACAAGGAAAAAUAAUUCAAUUUAGAAAUACUAAAACAAAUUCUACACAAUAUAAAAUAUUAGUAAAAGCACCUUUUAUCAAUUCAAAAUGAGUAAUUAAAUUACACCAUCUAGAAAAUUGCAUAUAAUAGAAAAGUUAAAAUUAAAAUAACAAUAAAAAGUAAAGAUUAAGUAAAUUACAAAAAUAAUAAAAAUGUAUAUAAUAGGUAUGUAUAAUUUACACACACACUUAUGUGUGUGUGUGUGUGUGAGUGUGCAUAUGAAUUUAUAUACUUACGUAAAAACAUAUAUACAACUAUAUAAAAUGGGGAUUAUCACCAUUCUGUAUAUGUGAUGGGCUUGAAAGUUGUUCAGAUAUUGAGAUAUUUUUUAUCACGAAAUCAAUGUUAGCCUCAAUAGAUUUUUCUAAUUUUUCUAAUUUAUUUAAUCUUUACUUUUUAUUGUUAUUUUAAUUUUAACUUUUCUAUUAUAUGUAAUUUUCUAGAUGGUGUAAUUUAAUUAUUCAUUUUGAAUUGAUAAAAGGUGUUUUUUUCUAAUAUUUUAUAUAUAUAUAUAUAUAUAUAUAUUCCUUCCGUUUCUUAUCCUCCCAGUAUUGUUUUAUUAUAUAUAUAUAUACAUAUACAUACACCACUGAACUCCACGCGUCUUUUCAUUCCCUCUCUAUUUAUUCCCUGUUAUUCUUUUCCGUCGGAGGUCGUAGACUCGAAAUGUAAAAGACUUUUCAAAUUCUCCUGAGCGCCAAACUAAUACACUUGCUUGUUGUUCCUACACGUGUCUUCGUCUUUAUUUCUCUAUAAAUUUGACCUAUAUAUAUAUAUAUAUAUGUAUGUAUGUAUGUAUAUAUGUAUAUGUAAUAGAUGUGAGCAUGUUUGAAUCAAAAUUCAUUACUCUAAAUCUCUCAAUGUUGAGCCUCGAACGAAAAUAAAACAAUUAGACCGUCGGGAAGAUAUUUGAAUGGAAAAGAGUAUAUCGAAUAUUGAUUGUAUUAAAAUGGUUCAGCACCUCUAUGCAGAAGAGGAUCUUGGUGGCUAAUUUGCAAAGUAUAAGUUGACCAAUAUCAUUUUGUUAAAAGUAUAUAAAUAAAUUUCAUUCGAAAGAAGUAGAAACUUAUAAUACGCGAAAAGUGCAAGCAGGAAAAGAACAGCAAUACCCACGGCCCAAGGAAUAAAACAAGUAGAAGAUAUUAAACAGAAAACUACGCGGAAAAGAAGAAAAAAAGAAGAGGAAGAAGGUGAAGGAGAAAUGAAGAAGAAGAAAAAGAAGAAGUAGAAGAAAAAAAAAAAGAAGAAGAAGAAGAAGAAGAAGAAGAAGAAGAAGAAGAAGAAGAAGAAGAAGAAGAAGAAGAAGAAAAGGAAGAAGAAGAAGAAGAAGACAAAAUUGUAAUACAAUGCUAAUUUUCCGUGAAUACAUGAAGAAUAGAUUAUGUAAAACGUAAAAAGCUGCCAUAGAUGCAUGAAGCAGAGAAGUGAAAAUCAUUGUAAAUAAAUGUAUGAAGAAAAGCAAAGGCGAAGAAAAUGCAAAGGGAAGAAAAUACAUGCAUUAGAAAUUGGAAUAUAUUCCACAAUGAAUGUGCUACAAUGUAUUAAAACAAAUUCGUGCGUAGGUGUGUGUGUGUGUGUAUGUAUGUAUGUAUGUGUAUGUGUGCAGAAAAAGUGAUGUUACACAAAAGAAUAAAGAGGGACAGGUUUAAAUUAUAUGAAGUUAUUUUAAAAAGAAUUUAUAUUUUGGAUGAUGUAAAAAGUUCCAAUGUCAUUCAAAUUAAUGAUUGAAAAUAGUAAGUAUUUUGGCUCUGUUGCCAAAGAACUACGUGGGUGGGGAGGAACGAUAGUUACGAGAUAUAUAAAAUGUGAUAGAAAUACAGCAAAAGAUCCGGAAAUUAAAGACAAUAGAUUACGAGGAAAUCCAAGUAAAUAAAGAAAAACAACCAUAUUGAUAAUAAAGAGAACAAAACCAUCUGAAUCUGGAUUUUAAAAUUUAUCAGCAAACUGACAUUAUACACCUAAAAGAAAAGUAAAGUGAAGAAUAUGUUGGGAUUUUUUGCGAUCCAGUGCAUUUCAGACAAAGUGUCCGAUAAAGCAGUUCUAUAAUCUUCAUUAGCGUAAUUGAUUACAAUGUAAGAAGCUCAUGCUUGUAAGUCCUACUUUUUGUUCUAAACUUUAUCAGUGUUAAAUAUAAUGGAGAAUUUCUCAUUCCUACACAGACACCACACAACAGCUCGGCGUAAGCCGUGCACUUUGAACUAUGUUAUGAACCAUUAUACCUUAAUAAAGUGUGAGUCGGAUUCUCUAAAACAACAAAGAUACUUGAACAAGCAGGUAGAAAAAGGAGAGUUACUAAAAUUCAUAUCAUAAAAUUGGGUCAUAUGUUUAUUUUUCCUCUUCAUGUAAAAAUCGUAAACACGCGGCUGUUUUCAGUCUGUGAUCUUGCGCUGAUCAAAUACUUAUCACUAAGGUAAAAAUUAUUGGGUUCUCUAUUGGGUUCAAAUUCUGUGGAAGUCAACUUCGUGUUCAGCAUUUCAAGGAUAAUAAAAUAACAAUAUAUCAAUCCAAGAAAUUGUGAAAAUUGCUGUUAAAAUGCUUGAUUGUAAAUUAUUUGGUUCUUUUACCAACUUAAAACGAUCGUUUCUGAACUGUUGCUGGUUUUUAAUGCAGGGGAAUUUCUUCUUAAUUUUAAAACGUUUUUCAAUUGUGUGCUAUUUUCCAGGGUAUAUUUUCCUACGAAAAUGCGUACAUCAAUUCGCCCUUCUUAUGAACUAACCUUUAUGUUUUUAAUAUAAAUUUCAUCUAAUGUUUUUGAGGUGGUGUCGAAGUUUUUAAUAUCCUUAUAUAAAACUCAGCGAGUGUAUUUCAAUUUUCAGCUAUCAGUGUUCUAUUACUAUUUAUUUUUCUUUUCCUUCUUCUGUUCGCUCUUUCUUCUCCUCCUCCCAACUUAUUUUUUCGCUUUUUGUUCAAUUUUUAGUUCUAGCUUUCUUCCCCUUGCUUCUCAUUUAUGCAUUUAUAUGUUUUCGUUACAAAAGUUUCAUCCAAUCAAUAUUGGAUAUUCUCUUUCAUUUGCGUUAAUUGUUGCAUUUAAUAUAACUGUCUUAUAAAAUGUUCUACUUUUUAAAUUAAUGUUUACGGAUCGCAAACGAGAAACAAAGAAACGAUUUGUAAAAUAUUUCGUUUUUAAUACACACACAUACACACAGACACACACACACGCAUAUAUAUAUAUAUAUAUAUAUAUAUAUAUAUAAUUAAUAUAGGAUAAAAUUUUUUUCGGAAAAAAUUUUUUAUCAAUGGCCAGCAUAUCAAAAAGUGUCUUUAAAGGUAAAAUUUAUACGUAAUUUACAAGAUAAGGGCAGAAGAAAAAUUCUAAUGCCAAAUAUGCCGAAACAAAAAAUUUUUUGUCGAUAACCAUUAAAAUUUAUGCGUCUCGAAACAAACCGAUAGAGAUCUCUAAAAAAUUCGUUAUUACCGUAUUGGUCCAAUUUCGGGAUUAAUUCAUAAGAAAUUUUCCCCUCUUCAUCAUAUACAUCAUAUACGCAUAAGCACCCAUGUAUAUGCAUGUAUAUUUAUAGAACUGCACACACAUCAAUAUUUAUGUAUGUGAGUGUACAUAUUUUAUGUUCGGGUGUUAUAUUAGAAGAUAAAACUUCACAAAUCGUUUUCGCUAUAUAGUCGAUAAUAAAAAUGCUACACAGAUAUUUGAAAGUGAUGUUGAAGAAAUACUUGAAUGACUGAACAAGUUUUAACGCAGUGCUAUAUUUAAGAGAUGAAGAAAUAUGUACAUUAUUUACAUUUGACGGAUAUUUCUCAUAUUGUUUGUUGUUAACACUCUUGUUGUUAACACAACGUUUUGGCUGAUAUACUCUCCAGCCUUCAUCAGGUGUCUUGGUAUUUUUCGAUGUUGUUGUUGUUAUUAUUAUUAUUAUUAUUAUUAUUAUUAUUAUUAUUAUUAUUAUUAUUAUUAUUAUUAUUAUUCAGGUCACUGCCUGUAAUCGAACUCGGAAUCUUAAGGU
rnacentral:lncRNA from 1 species